rnacentral:rRNA from 1 species
UACGAAGGGUGCAAACGUUGCUCGGAAUUAUUGGGCGUAAAGCGCACGUAGGCGGCUUUGCAAGUCGGAUGUGAAAUCCCUCGGCUUAACCAAGGAAGUGCAUCCGAAACUGCAGAGCUUGAGUACUUAAGAGGAUCGCGGAAUUCCCGGUGUAGAGGUGAAAUUCGUAGAUAUCGGGAGGAACACCGGUGGCGAAGGCGACCAUCUGGACGGAUACUGACGCUGAGACGCGAAAGCGUGGGUAGCAAACAGG